rnacentral:rRNA from 1 species
GAUGAACGCUGGCGGCGUGCCUAAUACAUGCAAGUCGAGCGAACAGACGAGGAGCUUGCUCCUCUGACGUUAGCGGCGGACGGGUGAGUAACACGUGGAUAACCUACCUAUAAGACUGGGAUAACUUCGGGAAACCGGAGCUAAUACCGGAUAAUAUAUUGAACCGCAUGGUUCAAUAGUGAAAGACGGUUUUGCUGUCACUUCUAGAUGGAUCCGCGCGGCAUUAGCUGGUUGGUAAGGUAACGGCUCACCAAGGCAACGAUGCGUAGCCGACGUGAGAGGGUGGUAGGCCACACGGGAAGUGAGCCACGGUCCAGACUCCUACGGGAGGCAGCAGUAGGGAAUCUUCGGCAAUGGGCGAAAGCCUGACGGAACGACGCCGCGUGAGUGAUGAAGGUCUUCGGAUCGUAAAACUCUGUUAUUAGGGAAGAACAAAUGUGGAAGUAACUAUGCACGUCUUGACGGUACCGAAUCAGAAAGCCACGGCUAACUACGUG